rnacentral:rRNA from 1 species
AGUGAACGCUGGCGGCGUGCCUAAUACAUGCAAGUCGAACGGAGUGGCGCACGGGUGAGUAAUGUAUAGCUAAUCUGCCCUACACUAGAGGACAACAGUUGGAAACGACUGCUAAUACUCUAUAGUGUAGGAUGAGGCUAUAUUGUAUCAGCUAGUUGGUGAGGUAAUGGCUCACCAAGGCUAUGACGCAUAACUGGUCUGAGAGGAUGAUCAGUCACACUGGACCUGAGGCACGAUCCAGACACCUACGACAGGCAGCGGUAGGGAAUAUUGCUCAAGGGGAGAAACCCUGAAGGAGCAUCGCCGCGUGGAGUAUGACACUUUACGGAGAGUAGACUCCUUUUGUUAGGGAAGCGGUACCUAACGAAUAAGCACCGGCUAACUCCGUGCCAGCAGCCGCGGUAAUAC